UACGUAGGUGACAAGCGUUAUUCGGAAUUACUGGGCUUAAAGAGUCCGUAGGCGGCGCGUUAGGUGGGGUGUGAAAUCCCUCGGCCCAACCGAGGAAUUGCGCUCCAAACCGGCGUGCUUGAGGAAGGUAGAGGUGAGCGGAACUGAUGGUGGAGCGGUGAAAUGCGUUGAUAUCAUCAGGAACACCGGAGGCGAAGGCGGCUCACUGGGCCUUUUCUGACGCUGAGGGAGGAAAGCCAGGGUAGCGAACGGG
rnacentral:misc_RNA from 1 species